AACGAACGCUGGCGGCAUGCCUAACACAUGCAAGUCGAACGAUGCCUUCGGGCAUAGUGGCGCACGGGUGCGUAACGCGUGGGAAUCUGCCCUUGGCUUGGGAAUAACAGUUAGAAAUGACUGCUAAUACCGGAUGAUGUCCCCCUGAGAGAUCUUGGGGACCAAAGAUUUAUCGGCCAGGGAUGAGCCCGCGUAGGAUUAGGUAGUUGGUGGGGUAAAGGCCUACCAAGCCGACGAUCCUUAGCUGGUCUGAGAGGAUGAUCAGCCACACUGGGACUGAGACACGGCCCAGACUCCUACGGGAGGCAGCAGUGGGGAAUAUUGGACAAUGGGGGGAACCCUGAUCCAGCAAUGCCGCGUGAGUGAUGAAGGCCUUAGGGUUGUAAAGCUCUUUUACCAGGGAUGAUAAUGACAGUACCUGGAGAAUAAGCUCCGGCUAACUCCGUG
rnacentral:rRNA from 1 species